GGUUCAUUCAAAUUUCUGCCCUAUCAACUUUCGAUGGUAAGGUAUUGGCUUACCAUGGUUUCAACGGGUAACGGGGAAUUAGGGUUCGAUUCCGGAGAGGGAGCCUGAGAAACGGCUACCACAUCCAAGGAAGGCAGCAGGCGCGCAAAUUACCCAAUCCCGACCGGGGAGGUAGUGACAAUAAAUACUGAUACAGGGCUCUUUUGGGUCUUGUAAUUGGAAUGAGUACAAUUUAAAUCCCUUAACGAGGAACAAUUGGAGGGCAAGUCUGGUGCCAGCAGCCGCGGUAAUUCCAGCUCCAAUAGCGUAUAUUAAAGUUGUUGCAGUUAAAAAGCUCGUAGUUG
rnacentral:rRNA from 1 species